GGAGGCGGGGGUCCGGGCCCACGUCCUGCAGGCGCUCAACGGGGGGGACCCGGCACAGCUGCGGGGGCUGGGGCCACGCCGGGGGGGCGCGUCCGAGCCUGGCGCCAGGAGCACGGCCCCUUCCGCACGGUGGAGGACCUGGCGGCGGUGCCCGGCUUCACGGCGGCGCAGGUGGCCACGCUGCUGCAGGCCAAUGUCACCGCUGCCCUGGGGACAGCCCCGUUGGGCCCCGCGCCCCAAUAAACACCCACGAGCGCCGA